CUCUGACGCAGCCAUGCCGCGUGAAGGAUUGAAGGCCCUAUGGGUUGUAAACCUCUUUUGUAUGGGAAAAAACGCUUCUACGUGUAGAAGCCUGAUGGUACCAUAAGAAUAAGCACCGGCUAACUCCGUGCCAGCAGCCGCGGUAAUACGGAGGGUGCAAGCGUUAUCCGGAUUUAUUGGGUUUAAAGGGUCCGUAGGCGGACUAUUAAGUCAGUGGUGAAAGCCCUCUGCUCAACAGAGAAACUGCCAUUGAUACUGAUAGUCUUGAGUACAAGUGAGGUUGGCGGAAUGUGUGGUGUAGCGGUGAAAUGCUUAGAUAUCACACAGAACACCGAUUGCGAAGGCAGCUGGCCAACUUGUAACUGACGCUGAGGGACGAAAGUGUGGGGAUCAAACAGGAUUAGAUACCCUGGUAGUCCACACCGUAAACUAUGAUCACUAGAUUUUGGCCGUAAGGUCAGAGUCCAAGCGGAAGUGUUUAGUGAUCCACCUGGGGAGUACGACCGCAAGGUUGAAACUCAAAGGAAUUGACGGGGGCCCGCACAAGCGGUGGAGCAUGUGGUUUAAUCCGAUGAUACGCGAGGAACCUUACCUGGGCUUGGAAGUUAGUGACCGCUCCUGAAAGGGAGCCUUCCGCAAGGACACGAAACUAGGUGCUGCAUGGCUGUCGUCAGCUCGUGCCGUGAGGUGUCGGAUUAAGUUCCAUAACGAGCGCAGCCCCUAUCUCUAGUUGCCAGCGGGUAAUGCCGGGGACUCUAGAGAAACUGCCCGUGUAAGCGGUGAGGAAGGUGGGGAUGACGUCAAGUCAUCACGGCCCUUACGUCCAGGGCGACACACGUGCUACAAUGGUAGGGACAGUGAGUUGCAAGCCAGCAAUGGUGAGCUAAUCUAUAAACCCUAUCUCAGUUCGGAUCGAGGUCUGCAGCCCGACCUCGUGAAGCUGGAAUCGCUAGUAAUCGGAUAUCAGCCAUGAUCCGGUGAAUACGUUCCCGGGCCUUGUACACACCGCCCCGUCAAGCCAUGGAAAAUUGGGGAGUGGCCUAAAGUCCGCCCACCGGUAAGAAGCCGGCCUCAAGGCAAUACCACGUAACUG
rnacentral:rRNA from 1 species